rnacentral:rRNA from 1 species
UACGUAGGGUGCAAGCGUUGUCCGGAAUUAUUGGGCGUAAAGAGCUCGUAGGCGGUUUGUUGCGUCGGCUGUGAAAUCCCGAGGCUCAACCUCGGGUCUGCAGUCGAUACGAGCAAACUAGAGUGUUGCAGGGGAGACCGGAAUUCCUGGUGUAGCGGUGAAAUGCGCAGAUAUCAGGAGGAACACCGGUGGCGAAGGCGGGUCUCUGGGCAACAACUGACGCUGAGACGCGAAAGCGUGGGGAGCAAACAGG